rnacentral:lncRNA from 1 species
CCAAAACGGCGUUUGGAAUGGGAUCGACUUCGACCCACUUCCAGCUGAGGUGCACUGGAAGGCCACCAAUUCCAUUCUGCAUGAGGAUGGUCAACAGGCCAUCGUCCAGGUGUCAGACCAUGCCCCAAGCUAGUUCCGGCUGCGGGCACAGCGGAUACAGAUUCGCCGUUAAUAUCUGGAGGCUUGAAUCCAGGUUCACUGCCUCGUUGAUAUAGCCCAAUUGGAGUCGUGAGAAGGAGCGGGCCUAAGAGGAAAGCGAGCUCGAGAGAGUGUGAGCUCGAGGGAGUGAGGGAGGCUCAGUUUUUGCCUUGGUCGAGAGAGAAUCCAGAGAGAGACCGAGGGUCGAGUACAAGGAGCCUUAUCUAGCGACUCAACCACACUCCACCACCGUCCGACGACCUCUCCCAGCCGACGCCCUUGAGCCAAACCGGUAAGCCCCAACCCUCUUGUUGGCCAUAUUUUCGAGCAUACCGGGCCAGAGCUUGCGGCCGUUCGACUCACGCGAGCUCUGGCCAUCGCCCGUUGUGAGCGUCCUAGUUUAGCCAUCGAGAGUCCCGACGCAGAUCCCGAUCUUUCUUGGGCCGAGAAUUUUUAGUUUCGAUAGAGCACUCCACCUGUUCGGUAAAAAGUCUGAAUGAGAUCCAGUCCUGUUUCGUCAUUUAGGCACCGUCCCACCUAGUCGAGGUUUUUCCUGUGAUUUUUUAACGUCCCUUGGCGACCCACGAGCGGCCGCGGAUCUCUUCUGUUCCGGGGGCAUAGGUGGCAGCUCUUGUGGCCAUCGAGUCGCCACCGGUCGGACGAGGGCUAAGCAUUAGGCUCGGGUCGGUCAAAGGCAGCGCCGUCGCGCCUCGGUUGGACUUAAGAAACGCGGCAUCUUGCUGCUGCACCACCUCCGUCGUAUCGUAACUGGUCCGUUGCGAAGUAGCAGGUCGCGAGCUGGGUCAGUGGGCCAAACCCGAUGCUGUCACCAGACUUUCGUCGUCGAUGGCCUGUGUAGAAUAUCAGUCAGCGGCAAAAGAAGUGUUGGUGUUAAGAGUUUUUAGUUUCUAUAAAUAAAUUGCAGACGAUGGAGGGAGACGUUCGGUGAAGAAGACGUGGAGGAGUAGAACGCACGAAGGGGAAGAGGCAAUUAAAAACAAAAGAAAAAGCAAGAGAAAACGUGCACCCAAAAGUUAAAAAGAAAAAGAAAAAAAAAAGCAAAAGUUGCUUCGGGAAGGAGGGGUGGCAGAAAAGAAAGUGCAGUAGAAGAAGACGAAAUAGCGAAGAAAAAUAUUAAAUUUAAAAAGUUAGAAAAAAUAUCUUUUUAUCUAACUGGGUCGGAUCCGGGUUUGGACUACGUUAGCGGGUCGGAUCGGGUUCUUCCGAUCCGAACCCGCUCACUCGAAUAUUAUAAUAUUAAAAAUCUCAACAAAUUAAAAAAUUAAAAAGAAAACAUAAAAAAUAAUAAAAAUAAUAAAAAUUCAAAAAAUCCUCCGAAAAUUCAAAAAAAUUAGAAACAUUUAAAAAAAUCAAUUUUUUUUUUAAGUUUCAAAAAAUUGUAAAAUCUAGAUUUUUUGGGGGGAAAUUUGAAAAUUUAUUAUUUUCUUAAAAAAAUUGAAAUAUUCGAAAAGAUUCUAAGAAAAUUAAAAAAUCUUCAAAAACGUUAAAAUUAAUCUUUUUUUGUUUUGGUGAAGGUAAGAAAUAUAUUGACUUUUAACCAAAGAGCUAUAUAAGGCUAUACGGCAACAACUCGGUCCCAUUAACUUGCACUCACACAGACAACAAAUCAGAGCGAGUGAAAGGGGGCCAAGGUAAAAAAAAACCAAGCCAAGGCAAGGGAAGGGGAAGGCCAAACAACGGCACAGAAACAGCAAGCCUAAACCAACACAAGCAGCAAAGAGACAGCUCUAAUGUUGGUAAUGGACCGUCUCGGAAGCCAGAAGGAGGGCGAAUCCAUCAACUCGCCAAAAUGGAGGGGUUGAGCGACCAGCUUUGCAAUAAUCUUCUGUUAGCCGCAGUGGGAGGGACUUGAUGGAAAGUCAAGGCUUUGUCCUUUAUAACUUGUUCAAGGCGCCUUUUCAUGGCCAAAAGGGAGGGAGGUCUACCCCGGAAUAGUAUAUUGUUAUGCUCCUUCCAAGUGAUGUUGCAUAAAGCAGCAAAUGCAAAGCGAGCAAGAGAAGAGCGGAAGGAAGGUCCUGAAAGUGAAUUGAUUGCCUAAAGCAAGUUUUCCUUCCAAGAUUUAUUCUGCCAAGCAUAAUUAAAUAUUGCGGCCCAAAAAGUGGCUAAGGCAGCAGGAAUGGGGCAUCCAAAAAACAAGUGAUCAAUUGAGUCUGGGCGACAGGAGCAAAAGGCACAGUUCCCAUCCAGUAUUCUACCAAAGGUAAGGAGUAGUACUUGAGUCGGUAGUCUAUUUUUUGUAAUCAACCAUAGCAAGAAUUGGUAGCGGGGUACCAAUGAAUUGUUCCAAAUGAAGGGCGCCCACUGUACUGGAUGACUAGUUGGCCGAAGAGCGUCCCAAGCAGAUGCAGCAGAAAAGGUGCCAUCCGAGCUGCCCAGCCAAAGAAAACGAUCAUCUUCAUCAUUGAGUUCAGGAAGGGGAUCAUCCCAGGAGGUAACCACAUCCAAAACACCCGAAUAUGGGUUAGGACAGGAGAAAAAGUCAGCGACUGUAGCUUCUUUGGGUAACCGAGAGCGGUAAAUGUCUGCAUUGGAAAAUAAUAAGUUCAGCGGCCCUUUGGGGUGCCAGUUGUCGUACCAGAAGGAAGUUGAGCAGCCAUUUCCAACACGCCAGCGAAAGCACUUGCGAAACUUCACACGAAGGUCCAAGAUUUUUUUCCAAGACCAAGAGCAAGAGGUGGGUUUAGAUGCCAGCCAAAAACUAACAUUUUUCAAGAAGACAGAGUGUAUCCAUCUGCACCAAAGGGAUUCUCUAUCUGUAAAUAACAACCAGAUGUGUUUUAGCAUGGCCGCGGUGUUGCUUUCCCUGAGUCUUCGGAUUCCAAGGCCCCCUUCAGAUUUCGGGAGGCAUACAUCAGUCCAAGCGACCUUGGCACCACCCCUACCUAGGUCCGGGCCCUUCCAUAGGAAUUGCCUCAAAAUCCGCUCAAUAUCAUCCAGAACCGAUCUAGGAAGAAUGAAGACAUUCGCCUAAUAGGCUUGAAUGGAAUGGAGCACCGACUUGAUAAGUUGUAGCCGACCCGCAAACGAGAGAAAGCGUUGUGUCCAAGAUUGCAUCCUUGAAGUGAUGAGAUUAACCAGUGUAGCACAAUCAACUUUGCGAAGUCUAGAAGAAAGAACGGGAACCCCCAGAUAUCGGAAAGGCAUGGAUCCCUCUUGGAAGCCAACUAGAGAGAUGAAAUCGCUUCGAGAUUUAGGGCCGACCCCUGAGAAAUAAAUCUCACUCUUAUGUAGAUUCGGUUGGAGGCCAGACCAUGUGGAAAAACUAUCCAAGCCUACCUUGAGAAGAGAAAGGGCGGGCAUAGACGCCUCCGCAAACAGCAGCACGUCAUCCGCAAAAAACAAAUGAGUAAGUCUAAUCGGCUUGCAUCUCCAAAAAAAUUGGAAUGAUGGUUGAUUGGUUUGCUUAGUGAUGAUGCCUGUAAAAACUUCCAUGACAAAGGUGAAAAGGUAGGGUGACAUGGGAUCUCCUUGUCUAAUGCCUCUACCGCUAGGGAAGAAUCCAUGGAGUUCGCCAUUAAGGGAGACCGAGAAAUGAGACGAUCGAACACAGCUCAUAAUAAGGUUAAUAAAGUGGAGGGGAAAGCGAAAAGCUUGAAGCGUUACCUCAAGAAAAUCCCAAUUGAGUGUAUCAUAAGCUUUACGGAAAUCAACUUUGAUGGCGCACCUAGGCUUAUGUGGGUUGAGGUGGAACCCCGCAAAAAGCUCCCGAGCUAUAAAUAUGUUGUCGCUAAUUCGUCUUCCUUUAACAAAGGCGUUUUGAGCAGUACUAAUGACAGAAGGCAUGAUGGCAGCCAUACGGUUGGCAAUAAUCUUUGUAAUGCAUUUGUAUAUCGUGUUGCAACAAGCAAUCGACCUGAAAUCAUUUACCGUAGUAGCAUUUGGGCAUUUCGGUACAAGGGUGAGAAUAGUGUUGUUAGAUUCCUUGAGGAGCUUUCCAGUAGUGAAGAAAUCACUAAUCGCAUUAGUAACCAGAGGGCCAACAACAUCCCAGCAAUGCUUAAAGAAUUCCACGCCAAAGCCAUCGGGGCCCGGUGCUUUACCAGUUGAAAUGGAGAAUAAGGACUCACGAAUUUCCGCAUUAGAAACAAGCCUUGAGAGGUUGAGAACCUGGCUGUCAUCAAGAACCCGAGGGAUGAUCGUUGAGACGUCCUGAGCUGAAGGUAGAUUAGGGAGAGCAGUGGAGGCCAAAAGGUCUCGGAAGUGAGAGACCACAAGUUGUUGAACUUGAGGAGGGUCUUGAACUGUAUUCCCUGCAUCAUCCCUUAAAAAUAGGAUUCUAUUGAGGAGAUGCCUCUUGUUCACUGAAUGGUGGAAGAAUUUGGUGUUAAGAUCACCCUAUUCAAGCCACUUAACCGGAGACUUCUGCUUGUAAAAGCUUUCUUCCUGUAGGCGUAGGUCCGAGAAAGAGUUUAUGCAUUCUCGCUCGUGGGCUGCAAGCUCCAAGUUAAAUGGAUCCAAAUGAAGGGCUUCCUGUGUGGCAGUUAAAGCAUUACAGGCCUCCAUAGUUCUAGCAGAGAUGUCUGAAAAUGAUUCUUUGUUAAGGCUCUUGAGCUUAGCCUUAAGCAACUUCAACUUAACAUAGAGAGUGUACAUGGCUUUACCCCUAACCGGCGAGUCCCAAGCUUGGCGAACUAAUUGGGUAACGGACGGAUGUUGCAUCCAAAAGUAAAAAAAUUUGAAAGGCUUCUUUGUCUUUGGAGUAGGGAAAAUUCUUACCACCAUUAGAGAGUGAUCUGAGAUGCCGGCCGGAAGAAACGAGGCUUCGGAGAAGGAAAAUGCACUACUCUAGCAAGAGUUGAUGAGCACUCGAUCAAUUUUCCUCUGCUUGCAAUUUUCACCAGAGGAAGUAGCCCAGGUAAAUCUACAGCCAGUAUACCGGAGAUCCUCAAGUUCCGCUUGAAGUAAGCAAGUUCCAAACUCAUCAUAAGACGGUAACCAGGUGGAGAGGCUGCCAGCCUUAUCCGAGGGAAACCUAAUGGCAUUAAAAUCGUCGGAAAUCAGCCACGGCGAAGCAUUACGAGAACCACUGGUCUGGAUCAAGUCUUGCCAUAAAGGACGCCUACGCACAAAGGUGUGCUCAGCAUAUACCACCGAAAGGUAAAAAGCUUCACCAGUAGAGAGACAUUUCAAAUGCCCAUGAAUGACUUGAUGGGAGGAAGAGAGGGAGGUAAACUCAACCGCUUUAGGAUUCCAUCCAAUCCAGAUCCUCCCUUUGUCAGAGUGCUCGUAAUUAGCAAUCCAGACCCAACCAGGCACAAGACAUUGAGAUAACGAAGGAAACAAAAUGGGAGAAGCCUUCGUUUCCAAAAUGCCCAAACAACUCAGGCUAUUGACUCUAAUGAGGUUACGGAUCUCAGCUUGUUUAACAAGAGCACCCAAUCCUCUUAUAUUCCAAGUAGCUAUAUACAUAUUUACAAGAUGGCGGGGGACUUACUUUUUACCUCGCUUUUUCUUCGAGGUAGUUUUCGGUUUAGGGCUACCCGGAGCAUUACUAUCAGAGGAGGUUGGCUGUACUUCACUUGGUUGAUGGAUAGGGGAUGGAGGUCGAACCUGUUCAGCAAGGGGAGACAGACCCACCGGAACCGAGGAAGCAGCAAGCAACCUAUCUUCUUCAAAUUCGGAUCUAGCAAUAGAGGCCUCAACAUCCGAAUCAUCCUAAAAAACAGAGGAGGUAACCACUCGCAUGCGGGGGGCGUUAAGGUUUAUUGACAAGGAGGGUCCAGCCUUUUGUUGGUUAGGAAUAACCCCCUUAGUAGGAAUAACUGGGCUUUGAGGAGGAUCAAUAGCGGAGACAGGCAAAGAAGCACCAGCACGGGUGCCUUUUUUUCCCUGAACCACCUUCCACCCUUCAUCUACUCGAGUUUGCUGAGCAUGAUCAGCAGGCCGGGAUAAGUCACCAGUAGGGUUGGUAUUUGCAGCAGAUGUACUAGAAGGACGGGCAGGUAUGUUGGGGCCACAAACAUGACCAAAGGAGCAACAAGCAGGGCAUACAACAGGCUUCCAUUCAUAUAGAACGUUCACUCGGCGAGUGGUUCCUUCGAUACCAAUUGGUAUAGACUCUGGUAAGGUAUGUUCAGCAUUGAUCUCAACGCAAACACGCACAUAAGAUAGGGUGCGAACCUGUUCCGUGUGCUGAUCCACAUAUAAGGGGCGACCAAUAGUACUAGCAAUAGUGCUAAUUCCCAUGGCAGACCAAAGAGCAAGCGGAACGUUCCUGAGUCGAACCCACACCGGAACCGUUUUGUGGCUGUUCCUUUUAAGUUCUAGCAAUGGGUGCCACUGUUGCAGAAUUAGAUGCACCUUCGCCACAGUGGGAGGCGCACCAUCAAGAACCUUCCUCCGAAAUUCAAGGUCCGGUAGAUGAAAGAAAUAAAAACCAUCAUCAUUCGCUCGGACUUCCAGAAGUUGGGACCCCCAAACGUUCUUCAUAGCAAUUUGAGUCAUCUGGAAUGGCAAUCGUUUGCCUACAUAAUAACCCACAAGGCAUUCCUUCCAUUUAGGAUCACAACCUUCAAGGACUUCGGAUGGAAUCUGGGCAAAUGGUUCACCAUCAACCACAUCUGGAGGCACAUAAGUGAGGUCAUAUCCCUUGGUUGCAGCCUUAGCUAUAUUUGCCCAAGAAAGGGCUUGUGCCUUGGCAGCCUCAGGAUCUAACGGGGCAACACGCCCUCUAGAAGGCUUACGCGUCCCUGCAGGUUUAGUGUCAGGUUUACCAGAGGUACCAGCAACAAUAGAAACAGCAGGUGGACGAGCUCGAGUGGGAGGAGAUUGGGCAGGGGAGGCAACAGCCUUGCCCUUGCCCGAAGGAGGAUGAGAUCUCUUACCACGGCUACGGCCCCUGGACCAAUCACGCUGGGCCUUCCUUGAAGUACCGCGUUCACGAGCGGACGUAUCCAUUUGCUCAAAUAGCCCAGCACAGCAGAAAGGAAACCAGAAAAACCUAUUUAAGGAAGAGCAUUAAUACCCGGGGAAGCCAAGUUUUGCAAGAUGCUUCGGUGGAGUCCAAGGGUGGAGGAGGGAGAGAAAACCCACGAAGACCCAGCACCCCACACCAGCCGAGGAGCUUGCACCAGCAGAAUCGGAUUCGUGAAAACCAGAAAAAAGGGGGGGCGCUCCGAUCGAAGGGCACCGGACAUCAACGGGGAGGAGAUAGCCUAAAUCCUUCGGUGAAGAAGGAGAGGGUGGUUGGGAGAAGGGAUCUACCGGAGCUCAGCUCCAACGAUCCAUCCAAAUGCCCGGAUUCAGCGGCAGCAGUCGCGAGUGAACAGGAGAGCGAUCGCACGGCUUGAGAGCAUUUUGUGAACAGUACAGGUCAGGUCAAAGUCUGCGAGACGUUAAAAUUAAUCUUUCGGGCUAUUUUCUCCUAAAAAAUGGAAGUAUUCCAAUUUAAAACUAUGUUUAAGUUUGAAUAAGCCUUUAGGGCUUUACCUAAGAGUUUCAAUUAUCCUUAGGAACAAAUGCCUUGAAAUGCACAAUAUUGAUACAGUGAGUUUGGCUUCUCUUUAGUCUAGUUAGGAUUAACAUUUGUCUUCUCUAAAGUAUUAAAUCUUUGCUCUCCUAUGCAAUUUAUUUAAUGAUUUCCUUGGUUACUAAUUGUUAUUUUAAUAAUUGCACAACCACAUGAUCAUCUCAUAUGUUAACGGAUUGGUCAAAAGUUAAUCCAAACUGCCUGACAAAAAUCAUUUUUAAAAUAAAUAAGAUUAAAUACUGAAAUGACACUAAUUUGUUAAUUAGUGUAAUGAAGUCCCCGACUCUAGAUACUCUAGUUGCAUAGAAAGUGAGGUACACUCACAUACCUCAUUUAGUUUCUAGCCAACCCCAAUAGGCUAGUGGCGACUCUUUAUUACGAAAUUCUUAAGAAUACCCCAAUGUCGGGCAAUAUAUGGUCUUGGGAGAGCUUGUGCCUAAUUAUGUGCUUUAGGUCCGUCUUUUAGGCAAUAUCCCUAAACCUAUUUUCUCCUUUGAGGGGUUGGUAGUGACAAGCGGUCUAGCGAUGGCUUGGCAUCGGCAUGGCCUUUGGACUUCUCAAGGGACCAAACUAAAGAAGAAAUGAGCAAGAGGGAGUUGCUGUGGGGGCUAGGUAGUGCCCUCCUCAGCUUCAAAGCUUGGUUAUAGUGACAGAAACGGCGUGCGGAGGGUGGUGCAGUGUCGAGGUUCAAAGGACGGUCGUUGUUAAUAGAAAAACAAAGGGAAAAUGAAGAGAAAAGUUUGCAAAAGAGAUGCAAAUGGAUGAGGGGAGGUUCAGUUAUGGCAAGGAGGGAGAGAAUAGUGAGAUUGAGAGUAAAAGCGAAGAAAUGAGAGAGAAUGAGAGGGAGGGAGGAUGGCCAGCGGUGUGGGGCAAGAGGAAAAAGAGAGACAAAGAGAAAUUUUGCUCAUUCAUGCCCAUCAAAUCCACAUCUUCUUGGACUCAUAUCAAUCAAUCAAGGUGGCUUGUUUAAGAAGGAAAAAUUCUUACAUUAAUGAGGUGAUUUAAGCACUUGAAUGGGUAAGCUUAGGUUUAGGGUAGUUAGGUAGGCUAGGUGGCUUCCCUCAAGCUCUUGGAUGCCCACUCUUACUUGUACCGUCACCUCUAUAUCUAAUUUCCCACUUUGUCCUUUUGUACUUAGUCCAAUGGAAGGGCAUUUUAGUCAUUUCAUCAAGAUUGUGCACUAUUCAUGCACUAUUCACGUAUUUGGUUGCAUUAAAUGUCAAUAUUUUAUGAAAAAAAGGAUUAGUGGGCUUGGAGGGUCCAUGGGACUCCCUUGGCUGCCCCCCCUUAGGCCGCCCACUCUUUGGGCGUGUCUCUUCUUCCAAUCUGAAGAAUGGUUUUGUGCAAUUUUUGAAAUAAUUAUCAUUACCUUAUUAAAUGGAUUUGAAAAUUAUAAAAAUUUAAUAUGUUGUAGAGAAGACUUCAACUAACAUUUUAAAUGAGGAAUCCAAGCCUAAAUCAUUUUGUAUUAAGAGUAGAAAAUGACCGAAUACAACCUAAAAAUCUUGUCCGUUUAACGGUCUUAAUGAACACAGAAGAAAACCCAUUUCAAUAUGAAAAUAUUUGUAAAAAACUUUGAAAUUUUAGUAUGUUGUAGGCAUGGAUGUCCUCUACAACUUUUGUGAAGAAAACAUGUUCAUAUUUCAAAGGAAAAUUUUUAUAAAAAAUCGAGAAGACAAAUAGGACACCAUUUUUAUUGCAUUGGGGUAGAUUUUACGCAGUAAAAGAAUAGGCUUUCGUACCAACCAUUCACCUCAGAAAAAUCUAAAAUUAGAGCAUGUUUUAGAUCAAUAUUUUUUGAACAACUUUCAUCAAGGAAGUUUUGUGAGAUUCAAAACACAGAAAGCCCUAUAAAAUUGGAAAAUAGUGAAGGUCCAGUAGUAUGUACACUAUUCACGCGCAAAGGGCUUGGAUUUGGACUUAACUCAUUCAAUUUGGGCGUAACUUGGGUGGCAGCCCAUUGGGCUUCCAAUUUUCGGCCCAAUUUCACUUAUCCAAAAAUUUGGGGUUUAUCGAUAAUUAAGGAAUUUGAUGAAGUAAUGUCCAAUGGUGGUCACUUAAUCCUUUAAAGUCCGAUAUCUUUAACCAGAUGUAAUUGAAAUCUAUCAAAUGCGACUUAUCAUAAUUAAAAUCAAUGGGCAUCUUUUAGGGGUUUCGCGAGUUUGACUCGUGGUUGAUUCAAUAUCAAUCCUCAAUUCAUUGAUGAUCCUCGGCUAUCAUGUAAUUGUGAGGGGUCAAUUGUUUGCUUCGAAAUUGGUUUAGGGUUGUUUGGAGUUAAUAUAGUAAUUGUGCGGAAUAACCCGCAAUCCGAUUAUAUACUAUUAUCGAAUUGAUCUAUAAUUGUUCCCGGAUCGGUGUGAAAUGACUUAAUAUUAUCUCUCAUCAAUCCUUAUGGUCAAAUUGUCAAUCCAAGUUUGAGUUCUCUAGUCUUCCGCAUCGAAAUCCUAAAUUAUCUUUUCCAAUAGGUUUAAUACUCUUGAAUGGUUCACGAACCAAUUUAAAGUCUAAUUUUACUAAUUGUGCAUUAAUAGAAGUAAACCUCUUAUUAUAUUCUGAAUAGGGUUGAAUUUUGAAGAUGUCACAUUAAACGGGGUGAAUGGUCCACAACUGUUGAUCUUCAUACUAAGAGAAAGAAUAAUGUUAGAAUAUUUACUGUGGCUUAACCAUAAUUAAGGUUAUGGCAUGUAUUGAAAUAAAAUUACCCCUUCAUCUACUCUCUCCUCAUCAUCAACUCGCUAUUCUUUUCCUCGAGAAGGAAUUAAAACAUUAUCACGAUAAUUUGAAAGUUGAGAUGUUCUCUUAAUAAUAUAGAAGAAGAUAGUCCAUGGUAGUGAUUACACGUGGGAUACAAAGACAGACAGCCUGCAUAAUUAACGUGUCCGCAAAGGUCAAGUAAGGCUACAUUGUGGAAGUUGGAAUGUCAUAUCAUUCCAUAAAUCCAUCUAUAAUCAUACAAAGACCUGUCCAUCCACCGUCACUGUGCCUACAUUCAAAAUCGGAAAUGUUGCGUUGAAAUCCGGCUCGGCUCGGCUCUUUCGUCAUUUAGAAGUCCUAACCAAGCCACCGUCGCGAGCAAGGCUCAGCCAACUGGCGCCUGGGGCUGACUCUAAUGGGCUUGUACUCAGCUCAUCCGAUGAGGUGAGAGAAGUUGAGCUUGGCCUUAGACCCCUGCAUUUUAAAAGCAGCCUGGUUGUAGGCCAAUACUGCAUCCUCAAGCAUUUCAUAGGUCCCGAGCCAAAUCCGGGCUCCACUCUUCUUGGGGUCUUUUAUCUCCGCUGCGUAUUUGCCCCAUGGCCUCCUCCUCACCUCUAUAGCGCGUUUCUUCCGCCUUCUUCGCCAGCCCCUUCUCCUCCGACAUAUCAUUGAUGAUGGCAUGACCAACCAGCACCGUGCUUCAAAAUCAAGCUGUUAAAUUGAAGGGGACCCACCCCGAGUGGAGUGCAUCACGCAGUGCACCGUACACAAUCAUGUGCUUGGAGUCGUCGACACUUAGCGGGAGGUCUUCGCUCCAGCUCUCCGUGACCAAAAAGCCGGUGUAGCGUGUAGCUCGAGCACUGACAGUACAUGUUGCCAUCAAGAAGAUGAUAGCGAAUGGACUCGAGAACAUCGAAAUGAGAAAAGGGUUCUCCAGAAUGAAUUUGCACCAGCAUUUUUCCCCCUUUACAUUUUGUAGGGUUUUUCUCUGGGGACUGUAUGGUUGCAGACUUUCAGUUGGUGACCAUGGAUGGACGAAGCAAGAGAAGCAUAUAAGGGUUGGGGAUACGGAUUAGUGCAAAAACAAUAUAUACUUUUUUUAAUUUAUUUCUUCUUUUGGAGUUAUCCGCAAACUUUAAACAGUGGCGAGACUGGAACGAGUGCUUUAAAUUAUAGCGGCAGCUAUAAAUUAAUGUACAUUAUAUAUUAAUCAUCCGAUGCAAAAUUUAAGAAAAAAGGAAUGGGUCACAUUCCUUUUUUAUUUUAUUUUAUUGAACAAGGACUAUAAUGAACAGAAUGCAUGCGCGCGUGUAUUAUUUUAAUUGAAGAAAACAUAAGGUGGAGGAAAUGUUACAAGAAAUGCAUCGGUUAGCACCGCAAAUCCAUGCAAUAAUUUCAUUAUACAAUAACGAGGGACAAGAUCAUAGUGAAAAGUAAAUUAAAUCUCCAAACCUUUACCAUAUGAUUAUUUAAAUAUGUAAUACGUUUUGAAAUUCUCAAUUAACUUAUGGCCAAAUUACAAGUCUUGAUAAGGCGCGUACAGAAAAUUUGUUGGAUCGUUGUGAAGUGAUAAGGCGCGUACGAAGUCUAAGCUUCAAAAUUCAAGAACUGAAAAGGAGAAGUCAGCUUUCCUCAAACUCAGGGUUUAGGUUCAGAUAGCGGGAAAUCUCAAAACCCUAUAACACGUCCAUAUAAUUACCUUCAAUUCUAUGUGACAUAAAAAUAUAAUUUACAUAUAUCUAAGUAUUAAAAAUGGGUACGAGCAAUGGUGGACUACGGAAAAAAGAAAUUGUUAAAUUAAAGAAAGUGGGGUAGGUAAGCGCAAGCAAUUAAAACCUCUUGCACCAUUUUAUAUCACCUAUACAGGCAGAAAAGAUUAUUCGCUAAAACAUUUACUUGCAGAAGAGCAAAAGACUCAUCUGACUCUAAUUUUGCGGUUCCAUCCUUUCUUGUUUUAGCAUUUUGGACUCUCGGGGUCUUCAUUUUAAGCCAUCAAUCUAGAUCAUAUUGUCUCAAUAUCAUAAUCCAUUUACCUUGCUCUAGUGUGGGGAAUGAUCACCAACUAAGUUUGAAAAAUGAAUUUGCAAACUCAAUAGGACUAACAAGGAAUAAAAGUGAGUAUGAUAGAGAAAUGGAUGCUCUUCAUCACGUUCGUUUUUCUCUUCUUCUUUUUUUGGUUGCAUCUCUUCAUCACUUUAAGGCACUUAAAUUCACAUUUAAGUUCAUUUGCAUUAGAGACAUUUAUUGUUACAUCCCGAGCUCCACUGUGUAAUAUUGUCUGCUUUAGGUCAUCCGCCCUAGCACGGACGAAUCGCCAUCCCAUCCACGGUCUUUUCCCUCAUGGCUUUAAAACACAUUACAUAGAUUAGAGGGACCCAAGCCUUAUAAGCUGACCAAGAUCUCCCUCCCUAAGCAAUGUCAGACAAGAGAAGAGAGGGACCCCUUCCUUGCAUACGUUCGAGGACCGUCACUUGGGCUGUCACACUCUCCACAUCUUAAUAGAACAGCGUCCUCGCUAUGGCCCAACACGAGGUCGGGAGUCAGAACAGCAUUCUUGAUGUGGUCCCACACGCGGUCAAGAGUCGACUCUGAUACCACUUGUAAUAUCCUGGGCCCCACUGUGUAAUAUUGUCCGCUUUGGGUCACCCGUCCUAGCGCAGACGAACCGCCAUCCCAGCCACGGUAUUUUCCCUCAUGGCUUUAAAACGCGUUACACAGAUUAGAGGAACCCAAGCCUUAUAAGCUGACCAAGACCUCCCUCCCUAGACGAUGUGGGACAAGAGAAGAGAGGGACCCCUUCCUUACGCACGUCUGAGGACCGUCGCUCGGGCUGUCACAUUUAUAGACUGGUGCAAGUGAAAGCACGAAAAUUCUAUUCAUUUUUCACCUCAUAAUGUCACCAUUACCUAACCACUAGAGUUUACCCCAGUGGCCAUCAUUCUCACAUGAGAAGGGGGAAUUGGGAGGUUUAAAUCCUCACAUUCUCAUAGGGUUGUGAUUAGGACGAUUUAGUAUCUUGUGUGGGUUUCAGUUCCUACCUCCUACAAGAAGGUAGAACAAAAAUCUAAGAGUUGGAAUAGGAGUAAAGUAGGACUGACAAAAAAAAAAAAAAAAUGUCACCCUUACCUCCAUUUGGCCCUUGUGUGGGGUGGCUCUUAAUAGGGUUAAUUUUGAGAGAAAUCCUUUUAACAUUUAGGCUCAAAGGGUUUAAACAACAUGAAAAUUUUCAAUUCUCAUCUCUUAAUGUAUAAGGGUUUGUAUGAUAGGGCUUACCUUUCAUCAUCCUAACACAUCUUAUUUAGCAUUCUCAACACCACAUAUUAACUGAGCUUGUUUCAAAGCUUUAUGGAGAACAAAAUCAACCAACACCCAACGAGGCUGCCUUGUCUUGGGCGAGGGCCAGCCUUGCCAGAUCUAGCCUGGGUGAGGCCGACCCUCGCCGAGCCAUGCCUAGGCGAUGGCUCCCUUUGUGAGGGCUUGCCCUUGCCUGGCUAGACCUCGCUUGUGGCAUGUGAGGCUAGCCAGCCGGCCAUCGGCAAAAGGAAAAGAAUGAAGCCAAAAAAAAAAAAAAAAGGAAAGAAAAAAGAAAGAAAAAAGAAUAAAAAAAUUAAUAAUAAUUCAAAAAUAUUAAAAUAUUAAGAAAAAUUGUCCAUGUCAGUGUGGUGGUCCUAUGCAGCAGCAUCGGCAUUUACAUUAGUAUUUUCCAAACAAAAUUGGUCGAAUUGACUCAAUUGACAUGAAGUGAAAAUGUUUAGGAUUUUUUUCGACAAUUUUCCCUUGAAAUCAUAAGCAUCUUGAUUUCAGCUAAAAAUUCCCGGCCACCCUAUUAAUCCUCCCUCUUUAGAACUUUCACAACUACUUUGGUCCCAUCUUCAAGAAUGCCAUUGUUACACGCCCAAAGCCACCUUCGCCAAGGAUUCUUGACUCAUUGAAAUGAUCAGUAGCUUUUUCAAUGUAAUUGGCGCUGAAAGUUUUAACCGACCCUCCAUAAGUUGGUAAGCUAGAUUCAAAUGACAAUGAGGUAGAGCUUGGGCCACUUCCAAGGAUAGACCCUCGCAUAACUGCAAGACAUCGGCCUCCAUAGUGAGAAUGGGAGAACUCCCCUUGACCCGAUCUUGCAAUACUUAAUUAAAAUCAUAGGCUAAAUUGAAAUUGGGACAUCUACUAAGACUCAUCUUUCUUGAAAUGGCACUAAAUUGAAAUUCCUCUUGUUUCAUUAAUAGCCCUCGUCGGGUGUUGGUCAUUUUCUUGGCCACCACACUCAUGUUACGAAAUCGCACAUCGAUUCCAGAAAAAUAAUGCUCGCUAACAAUUCACUAGGUAGAAUAUAAUAAUUAAAGAAUAGAAUCAGAAGAAUACGUUAGAAAAUUUGUUAACGAAGUUCACCAAAACCUGGGUUACGUCUUCAGGCAGAGGCACUCUGCGAAUCCACUAUAUUUUGAAAAAAUUUGGAAAUACAAUGAUGAUCUUCUCUCAAGAUUAUGGCACAAAGAGAUUGAGAACUCUCAUAAAGAAAAAAUUCUCUUUUUUCUUCUCUCUUUUUCUUGUCUCUCUAUUUUUCUUUUUCAACGUCUAGACGGCCAGUGUCUUGCCAUCGCUAAUAUAAAGAUAUCACUUUUAACCUAAAAGCAAAUCUAAUAGAAAAAGACAAAAAAAACCUUCUAAAUAUAUUUGGCUUCAUCUAUAACAAUCUCCCACUUGAAGACAAAUAUACUAGAGCACCAAGCAACUUUGCAUCCAUCUUCUUCAAAAAAUGGUAGUUGAAAACUUGUGCUUCUGCAAUACUCUUCAUCAAUCAACAUAGAGUAAUACCAAUGGUAGUAGUAUAGAAAAUAUGCUUCUCUUUGUCUACUACCUUAGUUAACAUAUCAGCUGGAUUCUUCGAGCCAUCAAUCUUCUAUAGCUUUAACUCAUUAUCUUUCAAUGCUGACUUGAUAAAGUGAUAACGUUUCUCGAUAUUUUUAGUCCUUAAGUGAUAAGCUGUAUUCUUUGCUAAGUACACUGCACUUUGGCUAUCACUCCACAGUAUAUUGACAGGCUAUUUUCGAUGUAGCUCCUCCAUAUAAUCUUGUAACCACAUGAUUUCCUCGGAGGCUUCUGUGAUCGCCAUGUAUUCUACCUCUGUCAUCGAUAAAGCCACUACUUUUUGUAGUUUAGAUACCAAACUUACUGCUGUACUUGCAACUGUAAAGACAUAUCUAGUGGUACUCUUAUCAUUAUCUCGAUCACCUAAAUAAUCUGCAUCUACAUAACUUGCAACUCUAGAGAUAUAUCACCAUAACAAAGUGAGUAAUUGGAAAUACUUACUAGAUAUCUCAAUAUCCAUUUCACUACAUUCCAAUGCUCUCUACCUGGGUUCUGCAUAUAUCGACUCACAACUCCCACUGCUUGUGCAAUUUCUAGUCUCGUGCUCAACAUAGCAUAUAUCAAACGCCCCAUUGCUGAUACAUAUGGAACUAUCGACAUCUCAUCUUUCAAAGCCUGAGUGCUCAGACACAUAUCCUUGGAAAGUUUGAAGUGACUCGCUAGAGGAGUUGCAAAUGAUUUUGCCUUGUCCAUGUUCUUUAACACCUUGUUCACAUAGUCUUCCUGCGACAUCCAUAAUUUCUUAUUUUUCCUAUCCCUGAUUAUUUUCAUGCCUAAAAUAUUCUUGGCCCCUCCCAAGUCUUUACUAGCAAACUGUGAUGAUAACAUCUUCUUCACUUCUAUGAUUCUCUUUAUAUUGGAACUAGCCACCAGCAUGUCAUCCAUAUAUAAAGAGAGAUACACAAUGUCACCAUCAUUAUACUUACGAAAAUAAACAUAGUGAUCAGACUCAAAGUGUGCAAAUCCUUUUCCUUUCAUGAAACCAUCAAAUUUUAGGUAUCAUUACCACGGAGCUUGUUUCAAGCCAUACAAGUUUUUCUUCAAGCGACAUACCAUGUACUCCUUAUCUUUGACUUUAAAACCCUUAGGUUGUGUCAUGUAUAAUUCUUCAUUUAAGUCACCGUGUAAAAAUGUUAUUUUUACGUCUAACUGCUCAAGAUGAAGAUCCUCCACUGCAACUAUACUCAGCAGAAUUCUAAUUGAGGUCAUUUUCAUUAUGGGCGAAAAUAUCUCGGAGUAGUCAAUCCCUUCUUUUUGAGAAAAGCCAUUGACGACAAGUCUCACCUUGUAUCUAAUACUAUCAUAUGCUUAAUUUUUAAUCCUAUACACCUAUUUGUUUAAUAAAGCUUUUUUACCUAUGGAUAACUUGGUCAACUUCCAAGUUUUGUUCUGAAGUAACGAGCUCAUAUUGUCUUUCAUAGCACACUCCAACUACAAGUGAGACGUGUCUACCUUUGCCUCAUCGUAAGUCUCUAGUUCCCUUGAAUCUGUAUAUAAGACAUGGCUCAGAACAGUAUUAGCUGAUGGAUCAAAAAUUACUUUUGGCUUUCACACACAUGUAAACCUCCUCAAUACAAGUACUUUAGGGUUGUGAGUUUGCUCCGAAUCACUGCGUUCCUCUUGAACUACCUCUUCAUUGAUAAUGGACUCAUCUUGAACCUCUCUUUCAAGUGCACUUUGAUCUAUUGGAAACUUCUUCAUGGGCAUUGUGUCUAAUUCAACAUAUUCUAGUUGUACUAUCUUCUCAUGCUAUGUCUAACGAUCCUUGUACAUCUUUUCUUCAUAGAAUACCACAUUCCAACUGUAGAUGACUUUAUUAUUCUCAUAAUCCUAAAGCCUAUAACCAUACUCGUCGCCACCAUAUCCAAUAAAGACGCACUUUUGGGACUUAGCAUCAAGCUUUUUCCUAUUAUGUUUGUCAAUCAAAGCAUAUACAAUACAACCAAACACCUUUAGAUGUGAAUAAUUAAUCUUUUUACCUGACCACCAUUCUUGUGGUAUUUCUCCAUCCAACGCACUAGAUGGACUUCUAUUGAUAAGAUAAACAACUGAAUCAAUUAUGGUAGCCCAUAAGUGUAGUGGGAGACCUAUGUGUAGCCUCAUGCAUUUCGCACGUUCUAGAAUAGUCAUGUUAAUCAUUUUAGUUACACCGUUCUCUUGAGGAGUGUUAGGAAUAAUCUUUAACCCAUAUAUGCCUUAUCGACUCAAAUAUUCUGCAAAUUUCUUACUCGUGUAUUCACCACCAUUAUCAAACUUCAGAGCUUUAAUCUAAUAACCUGUCUCUUUUUCUACCAUGGUCUUCCACAUUCUGAACAUCUUGAAUACUUCUGAUUUUUCUCUAAGAGCAUAGACCCAAGUCUUCCUUGUCACAUCAUCAAUGAAUGUGAUAAAAUAUCUCUUACCACCAUAAGAGAGUUCCUGAGCAAGUCCCCAUAUAUCAGUAUGAACCAACUCUAACUUUUGGCCUUUAUUUUGUCGUCUAUUCAAUUGAAAACUAACAAUUUUCUGCUUUCCAUAAAUGCAACUCUCACAAAAAUCCAACUAACUUUUUGCAAACUUGGAGGUAAUUUCCUCAGGUGUAACUGUUUUACACAUUUUUCAUCAAGAUGUCCCAUAUGAUAAUGCCAAAGAGUAGACAAAUUACCUAUAGCAAUUGUAGUUGCAACCAUAUCACUAAUAUUGUCUCCUUGGAGAAGGUAAAGUGUACACAUAUGCUUUCCCUUUACUACUACUCUUGCCCCUGAGGUUAUCUUCCAUUCUCCGCUACAAAAGUUGUUACCAAACUUUUUUGGUCAAGUUUACUGAUUGAAAUUAGAUUUUUAAUUAAUUCCGGAACAUGUCUAGUUUCACGCAAAACUAGACGUCCUUCACCUGAGAUGUUCACAGUCAUAGUUCCUUUCCAAACAAUGGGACACAUGUGGUUGUUUCCCACAACCACUUGUUCGAAAUCUCCACCGGCAUAAUCAUCAAAUAUGUCUCUUUGCGAGGUGCAAUGAAAAGAAGCACCGGAAUCAAUAAACCAUUUAUCUAUUGUCAAGUCAAACCCUACAGACAAAUACAAGUUAUCUAGCAAAGAUUCAUCGCUAACCACAUUAGCUCAUUGAUUCUCAUCUUGUUGCUUCUUUUUAUAGGCUUCACAUUAAAACCUCCGGUGUCCGGUUUUGUGACAAAACCAAUACUCAUCUUUUGUAACCUGUCUCUUACCCUUUAAUUGUGAUUUGCCACGCCCGCUGAAUUUUCCUCUACUUUUACUUCUUCCACGGUUCUCCGCCGUGAGUGCCGUUGAAGAUGUAAAUACAAAAAAAUUAUUUCUACUUGAGACUUUCCUCCACAUCUCUUCAUCCAUGAUACUACUCACAGUAUCAUCAAGAGUUAAAUCAUCCUUCAUGGUGCUCGAAAUUCCCUGCACUACAGUAUUGUAGCUUUCUGGAAGAGAAUAUAAAAAAAGAUAAAGCUUGAAGCUUCAUAUCUAAAUUUAUGCUUACGGAAUCCAAUUGACCUGUGACCUACAUAAAACUAUUAAUAUUCUUUGCCACAGAACCUCUAUCAGAUAACUUCAUAUUAAUCAAUUUCUUCAACAAAAAUACCUGAUUUGAUGUGGAUGGUUUCUCAUAAAUAUUCGUUAGAAUAUCAAUGGCUUCUUUUGCAAUUUUUUCUUUUACGAUGUGGUACCCUGUCUUUUUUGUCAACCCUAGUUAAAUCACACAUAAUGCCUUUUGUUCAAGAAUUUUUCAUUCGGCUUCUACUGUUAGAGCUACUUCCGCCAUCUCGGGCUUCCAACCCUCAAGUGGUGCAUAUAGAUUUUUUUUUAUAAAUAAUCAUCAAUUUGUAGUUUCCACCAUCCGAAAUCCUGUCCAUUGAACUUACAGAUUAUGAUUUUAUCUUCUGCCAUCCUGUUUGCUUUCAAUCGAACAUCACCAAAAAACCCUUGAUGUUCUCGAUUAGCCAACACAAGCUCUAAUAUCAAUUGUUAUGAAAUCGCACGUCGAUUCUAGAAAAAUAACGCUCGCAAACAAUUCGCUAGGCAGAAUAUAAUAAUAGAAUAAUAGACUUAAAAGAAGAUGUUAGAAAAUUUGUUAACGACGUUCACCCAAACCUAGAUUACGUCUCCGCGCAGAGGUACUUUGCGAAUCCACUAGACUUUGAAAAAAGUUGGAAUACAACGAUAAUCUUCUCUCAAGAUCAAGGCACAAAAAGAUUGAGAGCCCCCAUAAAGAAAAAACUCACUUUUUUCUUCUCUCUUUUUCUCGCCUCUCUAAUUUUUUUUUCAGUGUCUUAAUGGUCAAUGUAUUGCCAUCACUAAUAGAAAGAUAUCACUUUUAACCUAAAAGCAAAUCCGAUAGAAAAGACAAAAAAAAAACCUAAAUAUAUUUGGCUUCAUCUAUAACAACUCACUCACUUUUUUAUUGUCUUGUAUGCUUGUCAAUUUCCUGCAAUUUUGUGCAUACAUGCUAAUGAUUAUUCAUGGCAUAAGCAUUGCCACUGGAUUUUGUUCUCCAGUAUGCCGAAGUCAACUACCAUCGAAUUGACGGUUGUUUAUGAUUUUUGAAAAUCGUUAAUUUGACCGCGAAAAGUUUGUUUGCCGAGUAGGAAUUGCCUAGGUUAAGAAUAUGGUCAAUAGUAGAGAAUGAAAUCUUGCUAUUAUUCCUCUUUUGGCCAAUUUAAAAACUAAAACGAAAAAUUCGAUUCUGCAUUCAACCAUCUGACAAAAAUUCUUCAAAGGUACAGUAUGUUUGUGGAUGUUGUCGCACCUAUAUUACCCAAAAUUGGAAGUGAUUGCUUUUUCAAAUAAAACUGAAAAUGAUUAUUGCUUGGUGAUCUUGAUCAUUGAUUUAAUUUAACUAGUAUGAAAAAUAUAUAUGUAUUAAUGUAACUAUAGGCAACAUUAAUUGGGUCAUUCAAAUGAAUAUCUAGCAUGAAAAUUUGUGCUUACAAGCACGAUGGAAAAGAGAAAACUUAUUAGUUUUGACAGAGUAUUGUGAUCAAUUUGACUAACAAAAAACUGGUGCAUUUUAUUUCCAAGAUUUACAACGCAAUGUCCUUAAUGACCCUUAUAAUCAUUGAAAAUAUCUACUGUAUGAUUAAUAUGCUAACUUUUUCAGACAUCUCUAUUCUUUCUUAACGAGAUUUUUAGGACCAUAUCUUGUGAUAUUAUGACUAACAUAUACGUAUGAUAUAUUGUUGUUAUCUAACUAUCGGAUCCUCAAGCACUAGCUGUUAAUGUCUCGAGUUUGUGUCGUGUACAACACCCAUUUCUAUUGGAGGAUUUUGAUGCGUUCAAAAUCUGAUGUUGCCUUUUCACGAAUAAUAAUCUUGGAUUAUAGUGGAUAUAUAUAAAUCCAAGGUUCAGAACAAAAUAUUCGGUGGUUACUUUUUUUUAUCCAAGUAUGAGUAUUUGACCAAGAAGUGGACAUCUCUUUCUUGUUCAACGCAAAAGUCGCACAAGAAAGACAGAUAAAAGGGCAGCUCUUGUUUAAGCCGUAUAGCGGACUCCAAGAAGGAUUACCAACGAGCCGAACAGGCGACUCUUUCUUGGACGCGCGAAAGAGUUUGUUCUUCGGCCGGGGAUUGGAGCAAGACACGUGGAAAUUAAUUUAUGUUGUGAAUUUUACAUCCAAUUGAGUUAUUUAUUUAUAAAAAUUUGGGUUUGAACUUAAUCUAAGUAUGGAAAACAUUCAAGCGUAUGAGCAAUUGUACUCUGACUCUUCGAUUAUUAGCAAAUUAUUUGCUAGUGGCUCUCACUAUGGAAUAAGUACCAACUCCAAUGUCAUUUAUUGUUCCUAGCUUAUUUCUCUAGUAAUUUUGUAUUAACUUAGGUUGCACGCAAUAUCCAAUCUAUUUAUCUAUUUUUUAAUUUUUUUUGUUGCUAGGAGUAGGUUUGAAACAAAAAUCUGUUUGGUAACAGUUUUUUCUUUCGGCACAAAUUUUUAGCCCAUAAUUAUAUUUGAAACGAAAAUAAGAAGUAUAAAUUUUCUAUUUUUUUAUUUAUGAAAUAGAAAUGAGAAAUUGAAACUUUACUCAUUGCUCACCCUUGACGCCAACCGCCUGUUGGUCCCUCCCUGCCGACCACUUGGGAGGGAGAUAUUUAAGAAGAUCUAUCAAAUGAAUUUAUGUUCUGGGAAUAGAAAUUCUAUGUCGUAAUCAAACACGUAUUUUAACUCAAAAUUUAAUCCAAAAAACAUAAAUAGGAAAAUCUUUUUCUUGUCAGAAAUAAGACCGACAAAUAGAAUGGCAUUUGCGAGCUUAAUUGCAAGAUCUUGUCAAUUUUCGCAUUAAUUUUACAACACUAGAGAAAAAAAUGUAUAUUAAAAAGAAAAUUUUGAUCAACUAGGUACAUCCAGUUCUUACAAAGUGUGAAAUGGUAUAAUUAUUUAGAUUCAUGUGACCUGAGCAAUUCCGCUUUCAUCUCUGGAGAAAAGUCCAAAAAAGGUUGGCCUCGGCUGUGUGCUUUCAUGGUCAUACGGUGCUUGAAAGCAUCGCCGCCAGUUUUUCCCUUUACCCCUCCACCUUGCGUUGCAGACGGAAGAGAAGACUCUGCAUUCCCUAAUCUUUAGAUGCUCAUAGACAUUAGUUUGUCUUACAUCUUUUGGACCACGAGUUAAAGUUUUGUUCAAUGCACACGGCUCAUGGAAGGAUUACCACAACAUGUAUCUUGUUUUCUCUGUGAUAAACUAGCGGCUGCUCUUAAAUCUUACACGAACUCGCCUCCCAAAUAUGACGACGCCAUCUUGACUUGCAGUUGUUAAGUUGCCUGUGGUGAGCUCGUGCACGUCGUUUUUCUUCCAAACCAGUCAGAAUUCAAAAUGGGGCGUGCACGAGAAAUCAAAUCUUACAUUGUAAUCGAAUCCUCGAGUUAAGAAUUAUUGCGUGCAAGUGGGGUUAGAUCCCAGAAAGUGAACGAAAAAGUUGGUGGCAUUGUUGGACUUUGGAUCUGCCCAAUGUGGUGGGCGUGUUGGGGCCGAGCUUUUGCGAACAGCGUAAACAUCAUGUACCCAAUUGUAUAAGUUUCUUUUAUUUUCUAUGUUUAAUUUUUUUUUCCCAUUGAGUGGCAAGGCUCACUGGCUGACUCUCGCUUGCCACAAGCAAGAGUGUCCCGGCCCCUAGCGGAUCAGGUUGAGGGCUACUAUUUGCAAAUUUUGAGAUUGUAUAAUGUACCCAAUGCAAAGUUUAAGAGCAGAAAUUCUGACAGGUUAAUGUAGAUGACUUUCGGAUUAUGCACCCUAUGGUAUAGUUAAGGCUGCAAAUUAUAAGUCCUGCAACUAGCAAAUACCGUCAAGUGCCGUGAAUAUACAAGAUAUAAAAAGAAUUGCUUUUUUAUUUAGGACGAUGCUAACUUUACACGAUAAUUUUUUCAUAUGCACUUAUUCAUCAUAAACUAGGUAGUUUUUAUGCAAAAGAUUCUUAUCAACUUAGUUAUGAAGAGAACUUCCCAAUGUAGGAGCAAUUUAACAUUCUAUUCUGACAAUUAUGGCUGGCAUAAAAAUAUAAACAUCUUCAAUAUUAUUUUUUAAGUUUAGUUUUUUUUUUUGUCUUCACUUAAAGGGACGCCCCAAGGGCUUUUUGUCAACAAAUCAGUGAAAGAUAAUACAUGAAAAGUCAAAGACUUAUUUUCAACUAAUGAUUAAUAUUAAUUAGAUAUAAGAGUCUAAAUUAGCCAAAUCUAAUGUGUUAAUAAAGAGAACAUUAUCAAAAAUUGCCAUUUAAUAUAUAAUCUCCACGGUGGCAAAUAAUCGAGAUCACCUGUCUCCUUGGCUCUCAAUGGGUUAAUUGAAGGAAAGCUUUUCGUUUGGGCCUCAUCAAGAGAGUUGUCAAUUUUAGUUAAAUUAUUGGCGACUCUUUGCUUGAUUGGAAGAGGGAGUUGGCGCAUUAAACGCCGCCUCGUCUCCACCAACUAUCCGAAUUAAUCUCUCUUUCUCACAAUGGCCCUAAUUGUACACUCAGAUGUUUGCCAACGAAAGGACGUGGUGACAAAUAUUAAUGGUAGUGACUGGUCAAGUAAAUAUACAGUAAAAUGCAUAAAACCAUGCGUUUCUAGAAGAGGGUCUUGUCAAAUUAAAGGCUAUCUCCCUCGCAACUACCCUAAUUAUAGCAAUCUUUCGUAUAUUUUGAUGGUUGUCCUGAGCAUUAGAAGAAAUGACGUGGAGACUUGUUAAAUUAAAGGUCAUCUCAACUCCCACAGCUACCCUCAAUUGCUCUUUCUCUCCCUCUCCUUCUCCCACAACUACCCUAAUUAAAGCAAUCUCUCGUCUAUUUAGAUGGUUGUCCCCGGGAAGCAGAAGAAAGGACAUGGAGACUGGUCGAAUUAAAGGCCAUUUUAGCUCUCACAACUACCCUUGAUUCCUCUUUCUCUCCCUCACAACGACCCUAAUUAAAGCAAUCUUUCGUAUAUUUUGACGGUUGUCCCUGAGCAGUGGAAGAAAGGACGUGGCGAGUUAGACAUUGAUGAUAUUGAUGGUGACGCCAGGAACAGUAAAAUGCCCCAACGAGGCCAGGCACUUGUUUGAAAAAAGGGAAAAUGUCACAAAUAAUCCCUAUAUUUUCACUUAAUGUCCAAUUUCGUCCCUGAACUUUUGAUUGGCUCAAUUUGGUCCCUGAACUAUUGAUAAAAUGUCCGAUCUAGUCCUUGAACUUUCGAAUGGCUCAAUUUGGUCCCUAAACUAUUAAUAAAAUAUCCGAUCUAGUCCCUGAACUUCGAUCGGCUCAAGUUGGUCCCUGAACAAUGAUGAAAUGUCCGAUCUAGUCCUUCAUUACUAUUUUUCUUUUUCUUUUUCCCUUUUUUCCUUUUUUUUUUCCUUUUUUUUCCCUUUUUUUCCCUUUUUUUUCCUUUUUUUCCCUUUUUUUUCGCUUUCCCUCUGCCGGAGCCGGCGGAGGGCCGGCGUCCGGCGAGGGAGCCCCUCGCCGGCGUCCCUCGCAAGCGGGCGAGGGGCUCUCCCUCGCCGGCGUCGGCGAGGGGCUCUCCCUCGCCGGCGUCGGCGAGGGGCUCUCCCUCGCAGAUCUGGCGAGGGGCCCUCCUCGCCGGCGUCUGCGCGGGGCUCUCCCUCACCAAAUCUGCGAGGGAGAGCCCCUCGCCCGCUUGCGAGGCCUAUUCCGAACUGAAUAGGCCCAGAACAAUCACGCUGGGCCGAAUGUGUUCAUUGGUCUAGGCCAGCCAGCUAGGCCGGAAAUUCUAGGGCCCAAAAUGUUUGGGCCGAGCCCAUUUUCCUAUAAAAGCCCGGCUUGCCCAACCCAUUUGUAUCCCCGUAACGUCGUGUUUGAAAGAUUAGCCUCUUGUCCACCAUUAGACGUGUUCAAUGGGAACCGUAGCUAGGCCCCCUUGGAGAUCUCACCUGGAACCACCNNNNNNNNNNNNNNNNNNNNNNNNNNNNNNNNNNNNNNNNNNNNNNNNNNNNNNNNNNNNNNNNNNNNNNNNNNNNNNNNNNNNNNNNNNNNNNNNNNNNNNNNNNNNNNNNNNNNNNNNNNNNNNNNNNNNNNNNNNNNNNNNNNNNNNNNNNNNNNNNNNNNNNNNNNNNNNNNNNNNNNNNNNNNNNNNNNNNNNNNNNNNNNNNNNNNNNNNNNNNNNNNNNNNNNNNNNNNNNNNNNNNNNNNNNNNNNNNNNNNNNNNNNNNNNNNNNNNNNNNNNNNNNNNNNNNNNNNNNNNNNNNNNNNNNNNNNNNNNNNNNNNNNNNNNNNNNNNNNNNNNNNNNNNNNNNNNNNNNNNNNNNNNNNNNNNNNNNNNNNNNNNNNNNNNNNNNNNNNNNNNNNNNNNNNNNNNNNNNNNNNNNNNNNNNNNNNNNNNNNNNNNNNNNNNNNNNNNNNNNNNNNNNNNNNNNNNNNNNNNNNNNNNNNNNNNNNNNNNNNNNNNNNNNNNNNNNNNNNNNNNNNNNNNNNNNNNNNNNNNNNNNNNNNNNNNNNNNNNNNNNNNNNNNNNNNNNNNNNNNNNNNNNNNNNNNNNNNNNNNNNNNNNNNNNNNNNNNNNNNNNNNNNNNNNNNNNNNNNNNNNNNNNNNNNNNNNNNNNNNNNNNNNNNNNNNNNNNNNNNNNNNNNNNNNNNNNNNNNNNNNNNNNNNNNNNNNNNNNNNNNNNNNNNNNNNNNNNNNNNNNNNNNNNNNNNNNNNNNNNNNNNNNNNNNNNNNNNNNNNNNNNNNNNNNNNNNNNNNNNNNNNNNNNNNNNNNNNNNNNNNNNNNNNNNNNNNNNNNNNNNNNNNNNNNNNNNNNNNNNNNNNNNNNNNNNNNNNNNNNNNNNNNNNNNNNNNNNNNNNNNNNNNNNNNNNNNNNNNNNNNNNNNNNNNNNNNNNNNNNNNNNNNNNNNNNNNNNNNNNNNNNNNNNNNNNNNNNNNNNNNNNNNNNNNNNNNNNNNNNNNNNNNNNNNNNNNNNNNNNNNNNNNNNNNNNNNNNNNNNNNNNNNNNNNNNNNNNNNNNNNNNNNNNNNNNNNNNNNNNNNNNNNNNNNNNNNNNNNNNNNNNNNNNNNNNNNNNNNNNNNNNNNNNNNNNNNNNNNNNNNNNNNNNNNNNNNNNNNNNNNNNNNNNNNNNNNNNNNNNNNNNNNNNNNNNNNNNNNNNNNNNNNNNNNNNNNNNNNNNNNNNNNNNNNNNNNNNNNNNNNNNNNNNNNNNNNNNNNNNNNNNNNNNNNNNNNNNNNNNNNNNNNNNNNNNNNNNNNNNNNNNNNNNNNNNNNNNNNNNNNNNNNNNNNNNNNNNNNNNNNNNNNNNNNNNNNNNNNNNNNNNNNNNNNNNNNNNNNNNNNNNNNNNNNNNNNNNNNNNNNNNNNNNNNNNNNNNNNNNNNNNNNNNNNNNNNNNNNNNNNNNNNNNNNNNNNNNNNNNNNNNNNNNNNNNNNNNNNNNNNNNNNNNNNNNNNNNNNNNNNNNNNNNNNNNNNNNNNNNNNNNNNNNNNNNNNNNNNNNNNNNNNNNNNNNNNNNNNNNNNNNNNNNNNNNNNNNNNNNNNNNNNNNNNNNNNNNNNNNNNNNNNNNNNNNNNNNNNNNNNNNNNNNNNNNNNNNNNNNNNNNNNNNNNNNNNNNNNNNNNNNNNNNNNNNNNNNNNNNNNNNNNNNNAGGGGCUCCCUCGCAAGAUCGGCAAGGGACUCGCCCGCUUGCGAGGGACGCCGGCGAGGGGUCCUCGCCGAUCUGGCGAGGGGCUCCCUCGCCGAACGCCGGCCCUACGCCGGCUCCGGCAGAGGGAAAGCGAAAAAAAAAAAAGGAAAAAAAGGGAAAAAAGGGAAAAAAAGGAGAAAAAAAAGAAAAAUAGUAACAAAGGACUAGAUCGGACAUUUCAUCAUGGUUCAGGGACCAACUUGAGCCGAUCGAAAGUUCAGGGACUAGAUCGGACAUUUUAUUAAUAGUUUAGGGACUAAAUUGAGCCAUUCGAAAGUUUAGGGACUAGAUCGGACAUUUUAUCAAUAGUUCAGGGACCAAAUUGAGCCAAUCGAAAGUUCAGGGACGAAAUUGGACAUUGAGUGAAAAUAUAGGGACUAUUUGUGACAUUUUCCCUUGAAAAAACUAUAAUCGCUUUAGACUCUUCUUUUAGACUAAUAUGACCAUUUUAAGCUUUUUUUUUAAAUUUAAAUAAGGCCUACCUUAGGCCCUUAUUUGAGAAAAUGAGGGCACUAUUUGCCUUUAUUUGGAAUUUUUCCAAAUAUUUAUAUACAAUGAGCAUAAUUUGAGAUUUUUUGUGAUAUCAACAAAAUUUUGAGUCAUUUUUUCUAUAUGUAAUAGGUUCUCACGAAUUUUGAGAAACAAGAUGAUGUAUUUCUACGAGGCGUAUGAGACGCAAAAUAAUAAAAUCUCACCACAAAGAUAAAUCGUUUUAAAUGACCAAAAGAAGUCCGUCGAAAAAUAGGUGAAUUAUUUAUGAAUUAAUAAGUUAUUGGCGAUCAAACAACCCAAAAAAAAAAAAUAAUAAUAAUAAAAAUUGGCCACUACCAAAGGAAAACGUUCUAAAGGGAUUGGAUGAAUUAUUUUCUUAACCAUUGCGCUUUUGGAAGCCCCACUUUGCAGCAUUAUCUCAGGCAAGACCCCUUACAAGAUUGCCCUACAGUUACUUGAAGACGAAAUAAUCCAAGAACAUGUGAAUCUAGUGGUUUCUCCCCAAUUCAAGUCCUCGGACGUAUGAAAUCAUGUUACUAAAUCCUAAAACUUAUUGAAACUAUUUACAUGCAUCCUAAGAGGGGAUCAAGUUCAAGUUCCCUGCCGGAGUUGGCGGUGAUUGCCAAUGCCCAGCCACUCCCUUUUGUUUUUCGUUUUUUUUCCCUAAUUCUUAAUCUUAAAACUACUUUUUUCUGAUUUCUUUUUAGAACUUCUCUUUUUUGAUUUUUUUUUGUCUUAUUUUUGUCUUAGGGUGCUAAUUAACCCUUAUUUGGUUUGGUCGAUUAUUUUUCAUCAAUAUUACACUCGUAAAAAGGAGAUAAUACUAGAAAUAACAUGUUUAAAUACCCACGAGUGUUUUUAUUACACAUAAAAUUGUCUACUACAAAUGAGAAAUUACUUAUGUUCAGUAUAUGUUUUAGUAACUUUACUAGGAACAAAUGGUAAUGUGAUCCACAGUUCAAAAAAUGGAAGGUAAAGCUUGAUUGUAAUAUAUUAAUCUCCUAUUGAAGGUACCAAAUUAUCAAGUACACAUUUAGAGAUCUGAGAGUUCUCAUUAUCCUUGACGAUGUUAGUGAUUUUAAACAAAUCAGUUCACCGGCUGGAGAUCUAAGUUGGUUUGGUUCGGGAGCAGGAUCAUUGUGAUCUCUGUGACAAGCAAUCUUGUUGACAAGUAUAAUGAGGUGCCUGUGACCCCUACAAGCAGCAGUACUGUUAACAUUCUCGUUCAAAAGUACAAACUAAAACAAAUGAAUUAUGACCAUGCUUUUCAGCUAUUCUGUAAUGCUCUUAGAGAAAAACUUCUUAAAAAGGAAUUUUCCUCUUUGGCAUGUGAAAUUAUAUUGGUUGCUGGAGGAAUUCCUCUGGUUAUUAACGUUGUUAGUUCAUUUUUACGUGGAAAGCCCAUAGAGUUUUGGAAGGAGGCAUUGGAUGGAUUGAACCGAGAGCCUUACUCUAAGGAAAUAAAACAUAUUCUGAAGAGAAGAUAUGAUGAUUUAGAUAAAAAUGCUUGAGAGAUAUUUCUCGAUAUAGUUUUUUUUUUUUUGUGGGAAAGGACUAGACAAUGACCUCUUACAUACAGGAAGAUGGGAAAUAUGAUCCUUAUAGAGGAAUCAAUGUGCUUCAUAACAUGUCUAUGGUAAAAAUCAGAGAAAACAAUGAAUUGUGGAUGCAUAAUCAACUAAAAUUCCUUGGGAGGGAGAUUGUCGAGGAAGAAAAUCCAAGUGAACCUUUCAAGCGGAGCAGGCUAUGGAAUUGGGAGGACAUUGAACCAAUAUUGAAUGAAAGGACGGUAAAUCUAGAAGACAAAGAUGUCUCUUUUAUAGUUUGCAUUACAAUACUUCUUUUGAAUACUUAAAAUGCAUCUCUUUCACUUUCUCCUUUUACGAUUGUUCCAGGAUUGGCAGGAUGCUGCAGUUGAAGCCCCUUAGUGACACAUUCGACAACCCCAUUUAUAUCCUAAACAUAGAUUCUUUAAUAAUUUCUCGAAGCUUAGGUAUAUGAAAAUGAACCAUGCUAUCGUAAAGCAUAUAAGCAGAGUGCAAAGAGCUCCAGAGAGGAUUUUUUCCUCUGAAGGUUAAAGUAGCUUGAAUGGCAAGGAUGCAACGAUAUCUCCACCCUGCUAGCUUUAGAUCUGUCAAAAUUGAUCGUUCUUGAUUUGUCUAGGAGUACCUCCAGCAAUUGGAAGCGCUGGAAACAAAUUAUGAUGGCAUACCUGCACUUUUUUUUUUUUGGCAUCAAAUUCGACAUCAGCUUGUAGAAACAUGGCUUUUAUAUUAUUCUCUUGUUUUGCAGAGGUUCAACAACUUGAAAGCUUUGAUCCUAAAAGGUUUUCCAUGCUCCUGUAAACUUAGAGAGACUAACCCUGGGAAAUUGUUCUGCAUUACCUCCGGUUGUUGUCAUGUUGUUGACACCUAAAUUUUGGUGACCCAUUUAGUCAUUUAUCGCCUUAAAAAAUUAGGGAUUAAUUUUAUCCCUGAAAAAAUAUUAAUUGCAUAGCAUAUAGGUUUAAGUGCAUUUGUUUUUAAUUUGCAUUUGUUUUACAUUUAUUUACUGGACCGGUGGCGGUUGGGUCGAAUUAGUAGUUUUGGGUUUUAAAUUAGCAGGCUGGGCUAGGCCCACGAAAGGAGAAAAUUAACCCAAGCCCGUCGUUAUGUUAAAUUAAUUAUCUUGUGAAAAAUUAAGAUUUGAUGUGAUAUUAUGAUGAUUUUUGGAAAUUAAAAAAUCGCAUUGUAAUCUUAUCUUUAUCAAUAGAUGAUGAAAUCGGGGGAGAAUAUUUUUGAGAUAAGGAUUUUUGUGAUCAAGAGGUUAUAAGCAAUAUUCAUGAGAUGAAAAUAUUAACAAAAAAGAUCAUGUUUUGUUUCGCCUAUAAAAGGAUGCGUACAGAGAUCAAUGGGGAGGAGGGGUUUUUUCUAGGGUUUUUCUCUUGGUCGAAAUAAAAAAAGAGAGAUAAAAAGGCUUUCUUCCUCGUCCAUCUUCAGUCAAAGGAGAGCUUUUUCUCUAUUCUUUUCUUGAAAAACCGCAAAAAAGAAGAAGGAAAAGUCUGCAAGGAGAGUGACGUGAGAGUGUUUUUUGGGAUUUGUUGAUAGUACUUUAAUUUUUGAAUCAAUAUAAUUAUUAAUUUGAUCCAUAAGAAUUUGGAUCAGAUUUUUAGUUAUUUUGAACUAUUUGUCGUGAUAAUUAGGGUUAGGAUAAUUGUUAAUUUGACCUGUAAGACAACAGGUUAUUUUUUCGUUUAUUUUGAUCCUUUAUUUGAUUGAAUGUCUUGAUUAGUUUAAAUACAAUAUUUAUUUGAUAAUUGCUUGUUUUGGAGAAUCACUAAAAAAUCCAAAAAAUAUUUGAAUUAGGAUUCAGUUUGUUUUGGAAUAUUUCUUGUUAUAUUUUAUAUCUAGUAUAGGGAUUUAAUUUCGAAUUUUAUAAAAAUAAAAACACAAAAGAAUCAUCAUGCAUAUAUCAUGUAGAAUUAGGGCAUUCUUUGUAUGUCAUGGCAUCUUAGGAUAAAAUUGCAAAUUUCAUUUUAAAUUCACUUCAUUAUUUAGAAUAGAUUGCAUUUUUAGGAUAAAAAAUCAUAUGCACAUCAUAUAGAAUUAAGUUCAUGAAAUGCACGUCAUUUAGUAAUUGUUGUUACGUUCAUUAUAAUAGGAAUUGCUCAUCAUUAGACUAGGUCAUUUAAUAAAUGUCGCGUGACAUAUAGCUCGCAUAUUAGAUUGCAUGUUACAUGACAUUUUAGUUGAAAUAAUUUUGUAUGUCAUUGCAUUGCAUUAUAUGUCAUUAGAAUUAGGUCAUUUAGAUUGCAUUUAAUUAUUGCAUUUCUUCAUGUCAUAUAGUUUAGGUCAUGUAGUUAAAAUGCAUGUUUUUAUGAAAAAAUUCUAAUUUUAAGAAAACCAAAAAAAAAAAAAAAUGAUUGAUUGCUUUGUGUGAUGCAAUUUAUUUAUCUUUUUAUUCAAUGUUUAAUGAUGAUUGAGCAUCUGUGUGAUCAUCAUUUUGCAUGAUAGAAAUUUAGGUUAAAAUAAAUCAGCUGCCUGCAAAAAAAAACAUUUUUGAAAACAAAAAGAAUGGUACCGAAAGGACAUUAGAGAAAUCUAAUGUAACCAAGUCCCCGUACCCAUAGUCUUUGGUUCGUAGGAGUAAAAUAAUCCUCCAAUUAUUUUACUUAGGUGUCUAAUCGACCUACCAUAAACCGAUUAGUGGCGACUUCUAGUUAUUAAUCAUUCGUAUGUUAGAUAAUUGAACCUUAAGUCACGAUUUGGUAUGGGUUUGGGAGAGCCCGAGCUAAGCUUAAAAACUUAGUAGUCCAUUAGCCUAACCAUAGGUGGUUCACACUCGAAAAAUUGGUCGCGACACAUGUCCAUUAGCAAGCUAAGGAACUUAGUUUAUUUGGAUAUCAAGUUUUGCACCUUCGUGCAAGAGUUACCAAAAGAUAUAGGUUGCUUGGAAGCUUUGAGAGAGCUAUAUAUCGAUGGAACUUCCAUUCGAGCCCUUGAGUUCCCGGACGGUAUGUUGUGAAAAAAUGCCAAAAGAUGCACCAAUCGAAGCACAAGUAGCAAAGGAUAAAAGGAAAAUCGAAAUUACACGAGCCGCAAGAUUUACAUGGAAAACUCAAAACGAGAAAACCACAGGGAGAGAGGGACACGUGCCACAUAAGUUUGUGAGUCACAUCUUCAUUUAAUGACUAGCCUCGAAAGGACAUGUGCUACUCAUUCUCCAAGCCACUCUUAAUUGGUCCACCAAAACUUGUGAGUCACAAUUUUAUCAUUACUUGGCUUGACUUAAUCUCCAAGGAAAAUCUUAUGGUAACAAUGAUCAAAUCCUUAAAUGGCCACCUAAGCUAGUGAUUCAUCCCUUCAUUUAAUGCUUAAGAUAUGGCCAUCAUAAGUCUUGGAUUUUUUUUUUUUGGCACAUUUGUCAUGGCUAUUCUUGCUCAUGGGGCAGUUCACUUAAGCCACAAAUUACUAACUUAUUCAUUAAGACAAAUAUUUUAGUAUUAUUACAUGAUCUUAAGAUGGACACCUAAGAUGCUGAUAAGGUUUCUUGCAUUUAAUGCUUGGAUUUGUGUAAUCAUUAGAUUUGGAUAUUUCUUGUAUGGCCUACUUUCAAGAUUUUGCUCCCUAAGCUAAAUUCUCUUAAACCUUCCCUUGAUUGGUUCAUUUGUGCUAUGACUCAUCAACUUAAUCCUCAAGGCAAAUAUUUGGUAAUCAUUACCAAAUCUUCUCACGGUCAGCUAAGGUGAUGAAUUACCCCAUUUCAUUAAAUGACUAAGAGGUUCUAGAAUAUUAUAUUUUGUUUAUUUCCAAAGAAUAUGGCGAACAUGGGAAAUUGGCCAUUAAAAGCGCAAUUGGGACCGAGAAAGGGCUUUUUAUGGACAUUCUCAAAUGACCAUUCUGACGCACCCGAGGUUCGUGGCAAAGCCAUCCUUGAGAUGCGUGUCAUAAGUUAAAAUCACUCUCUCAGAUAAGUGAAUGAUCUGGGGCUAGGGCUUAAUGGUUGGGCCUUGGACUAGUCAGGCGGUCCUUUGGCCGAUCUGCAAGUAGUUCCUUCAACCUAUCAUGUGGCCAAUCCUUGACCUACUAGUCGGAAGCAAAAGAGGGAUCGAAAUCGAGGAUGUUACAUUUCACUUAGAACCUCGAUGCUUCUUUCGCCAAUAUGUCCCAAAAAAGUAUGCCCACAAUUCAGACUCUCAAACUUAUGCACCUGACGUUGUCGAGUGAAAUCCAUCACUCUCCCCCUUGAAGCUCAUAUAGAGUAUUGUGUUUGAUUCCUCUCAUCAUCACCAAGGCACCUCAAACGACCUUUAGAACACCAUAUUUUGAAACGUACCAAUACCCAACUGAAUUCGAGAUUCCAGGACAUAUCUCACUCCGGUCAAUAUCUCACGAUGACGUUAUGCAAUGUAAUUCCGACAAUUGCUCCACCACGAAAUUGCUCCUAUCAGGUUCCCAUCCCCACAGGGAGAGAAUCUUUGAGUUUCCCCGAAAAGCACGUCGCAUGUCCAUAUUUCACUUUUCCAUCCUCUCAAUUCAUUCUGUUCUUAGGCAUCAAGUAUUGAGACGGUGAAAGAGAAUUUGGAAACAAUCUCAGACUUGACCAUGAAAAGUGAAAAUGGAGAUUAAAGACCAGGUGUAGUUUUUUAGAACAAGAAUUUAAUAAAUCAAAGGUUCGUCUUCGGAUGUCACAAAUAUCUCUGUUUCUUCGGAGACUAUAACUUUCCUACGCGAUACGCACAAACCUGAGAAAUAAAUUAAAAGUGAUUUAAACGGUAAACUUUGGCAAAUGUCUGUCAUCUGUCAAAAGAAUUGUAAUCUUUUUUCUCAAUAAAUUAAGUGUAGCACGGCUAGUGUGAUGGCACCGCCGUUCACUUAAAAGACAACCGUGUUCCAACCUAUGGGAACCGGCAUCUUGUAAAAUGACGACUUUUCUUUCGCGGGUUUCAGUAGGCCAACGUUCAGAAUGCAACUUGAGCACGUUUGAAGUUAGGUUAUGGGGUCAACUUACAAAAAAAACACACCACAUACUCAUCCGUACAAAAAUCAUCAAUUGUGAAGUUCAACAAAUCAGUAUUAUGAUGUUAACGUGCAAGCAUAGAUAUCUGUUAUUUCACGGAUAUAAUCUCCUCCUCUGCCCAUCAUCUUAAUAUCCCCGGAUAGAUCCAUUGGUGACACAUUCGAAGCCAAUCAUUUGUCUGCUGUUCUCGUUGCUGCAGAUAUGGAAUGAUGCCUUCGUUGCACACUUGUUGUCUGUCUGAGGCACGCGAUAAUGUUUACAAGGGUGGCUCUGAGCUUGAAAACGUUGUUUGGAUGCUGUUUUACCAGCAGAAACUCAGUUAUAAUUUCAUCGACUGUUGCUUUUGCACAUCAUUUAAUAAUCAUUCUAUGUGGUCAUGGUCCAACAUUGUGGCUAAUUCCUGUUUCAGAGAGCAACGCACAGACAGAAGAGAUUAAUCAGCCAAACUGCCUCUACUCUGCUUCUCCUCUUUGAUUUCCUCCUAAAUCAGAAGUCAGUUUAGUACUGUAUCAGCUGAACAACAUCUAUGGAAUCCUGCCUUCCAAUUCUUCUACAUAGCUUGUGCUUCAUGUCCCUUGUGUUGCAGAUGAGCUAUGCGCUGGACUCCAUUUCAGCUGGCGAGAACAUCACAGAUGGCCAAACGAUAGUCUCUGCCGGCAGGAACUUUGAGCUAGGAUUCUUCAGCCCUGGCAGCUCCAAGAACCGGUAUGUGGGCAUAUGGUACAAGAAGCUAUCGGCCGGGACGGUGGUUUGGGUCGCAAACCGAGAAAAUCCCCUGAAUGACUCUUCAGGAGUCCUAAAGCUCACUCCUCAGGGUGUACUGACUCUCCUGAACCGUACCAAUGGGGUUGUUUGGUCCUCAAAUGUGUCGAGAUCAGGCCAGGAUCCAAUUGCACAGCUUUUGGAUUCUGCCAAUUUCGUCGUAAAAGAAGGAAAUGGCAAUGACUUGGGUGAUGCAAUCUGGCAGAGUUUUGAUCACCCUUGUGUUCGUUUUUGGCUGGCAUGAAGCUUGGUAUAGACCGAGCAAAAGGCCUGGACCGGUACUUGACCUCAUGGAAAAGCAGGGAUGACCCUUCACCGGGUGAUUUCACAUAUAGGCUCAAUCCUUCAGGAUAUCCGCAGAUGAUCCUGAUGAACAAAUCAGUAGUGCUGUCCAGUUCGGGACCUUGGAACGGCAUUCGGUUUAGCGGGAUCCCUCAGUUGAGGACAAAUCCAGUCUUUAGGUUUGGCUUCGUCUUCAACCAAAAUGAAAUUUACUAUUACUUCAAUGUUCUGAAAAGUUCCGUCCCGUCGAUGGUGGUUUUAAAUGAGAAUGGUAUCGUUCGGCGCUUCACUUGGGUAGACCGGACAAAGAGUUGGUUUCUGUAUUUGUCUCCUCAAACAGAUGACUGUGACACUUAUGCAUCAUGUGGAGGGAAUGGGAAUUGCACCAUUGCUAGCUCUCCAAAAUGCAUGUGCUUGACAGGGUUCGUGCCCAAAGACCCUAGCGAUUGGGAAUCUGGGGAUUGGUCAAACGGGUGUGUCCGGAGGACCGAACUGGAUUGUCCGGGAGGAGAUAAGUUUCUGAAGUACACCCAAGUGAAGUUGCCUGACGCGAGGCAAUCGUGGUUCAACGAGAGCAUGAACCUUCAAGAAUGCGAGCAAACAUGCUUGAGGAACUGCUCGUGCACGGCUUAUUCAAACCUGGAUAUCAGAGGGCAAGGAAGUGGAUGUUUACUUUGGUUCGGUGAUCUGAUGGAUAUCAGACAGGUGAACGAGAACAUCCAGGGUAUUUACGUAAGGAUGGCUGCAUCAGAAGUUGGUACGUGUUCGAACCCUGAGUUACUUUCGAUAUGAUGACCCGAGGAAGAGAAUGAGUUCGAAAUAACUGUCGGACUCUUACUGACUCUAUUUUCAAUUUAUUGUAAUGUGUAUUAAGGCAGCAAUUUCAGUGGAAAUCCUGGCGCAAGGAAAAGCACGGGCAUCAUUGUCGGCGCCGUGCUGUCUGCGGUGCUUCUUCUUGGCAUCGCGGCUGUUUUCACAAAGUAUAGGAGAGAUGGUAAAAUCGUUUUUAUCAGAAAAUUACGCUUUCCAAGCAAGAUGCUUUUCUUGAUCCACAAGAGUCGUUUUUAACUCUUGUUAGCAUAGGUUUUAAAUGAUGCUGCUCUGCAUCAAAUGCAAAGUUUCAUCAUAUCAUCUCCCUUUGAAAAUUUCAAUCAAUUGGCCUGAAAAAUAUGAAUGGACCAAAUGUGUGUUUGAUGUGAAACGUUGCGGAAAUAUCGUUCUACAAAGGCCUGGAUAGUGCGAAUUGCAAACCUCGACCUCCAAUCAAAACUUUGCACAGGGGAGGGAAUGAUGUGGACAUUGAGCCAUAUCGAGGAGGAAGUGCUAGGGACUGAUUGUCUAUUCCUACUGGUUCGAUUAGUCGAGCGCAUGCCAAGCAAUUCAGGUAAGCUGUUGGCGUGAUGGUUCGUGAACUUUGGCGUGGAGAUAACCUUGGAUCAAAUCUUGAAAAAUCUUGGAAAUCUUGGCAUAAUCUUUGGCGUGGAGAUGAUCUUGGAUCGAAUCUCGAAGAAUCUUGGAAAUCUUGGUGCAAUUUGAUUAUCUGGUCAUCAAAUAUUUGACCAAGUCAAAAAAAUUAUCUUCUUAUUUAGAUAUAUUCUAGAAUAUGACGUAUUAGAUUUCUAGGGAUAGUUUUAGGGUUUGCGUGGCAACUAAAAGGCCGACUAGCCAACUUCCUUUGGAGACAGAUAUAUUUUUAUUUUUGAGGAAAAGAAUUGAAAGGUUCUCUUCUACUGCUCUUUUGAGGACUUGACAUUAUCAAGAUUUUCUUGUGAUAGUUGAUUCGACUUAUCGAGUGAGAUAGCGAAUUCUUUCGCUCGUGGCGUCUAUAACGUUGGUUGGUUGACACGCGUUUGUCAACAGGUCAUGUUCAUAACAAGAUUGCCAAUCACAGGUUUGAUUGGAGGUCGAGGUUUGCAAUUCGCACCAUUUGGGCUUUCGUAGAAUGUUCUUUCCGCAACGAUUCACAUUAGUGUUGCUUUGAAUUUUGUUUUGGGAUUUUUAAAGCUCAAUUAUGAUUUCUCUUUAGUUGAUGAAUUUACUCACUUUAAUUUCUACUUGUAGGACAAAUCUUUGGAUUCUCCCAUCAAAGCCGUAGUGAAGAUCUAGACUUACCUAUGUUCGACCUCACAACCCUGGUGAACGCGACAGGUAACUUCUCUGAAGACAACAAACUCGGAGAGGGAGGCUUUGGAGCUGUCUAUAAGGUAACUAUUCUCAUUUUUUGGAAUUCUAAAUCUGCACGUACAUAUCCAAAUGCACAAUUGAAAAGGGAGCAAAGGAACUUCUGUCUUUUAGGGUGUUCUGAGGAAUGGCCAAGAAAUUGCCGUGAAAAGGCUGUCGGAAAACUCUAGGCAGGGACAGGUCGAGUUCAAGAACGAAGUCGCUUACAUCGCGAAACUUCAGCACCGAAACCUCAUCAAGAUUCUGGGAUGCUGCAUUCAAGUAGAUGAAAUGAUGUUGAUCUAUGAGUUCUUGCCCAACCGAAGCUUGGAUUGUUUCAUUUUCGGUUUGCUUCGCUCCAGUUCCUACAUUUUAAUUGCUUUUGUCAUCGAAAAAGAGUGAAGAAGCUUCCAUUUCAUAACUCAUGAGGCCUAUAAUUUGGCAGACCAAGAGAAGGGUGUUUCCCUGGAUUGGCCUAGGCGCUUCACUAUCAUCAAUGGCGUAGCUUUGGGGCUUCUAUACCUUCACCGAGACUCAAGAUUAAGGAUUAUUCAUAGAGAUCUGAAAGCUGAAAAUAUCCUGCUCGACAACGAAAUGAAUCCAAAGAUAUCGGACUUUGGUUUGGCGAGGAGUUUCGGAGGUAAUGAGAGCGAAGCAAAUACAAAGAGAGUGGUGGGAACAUUGUGAGUUCUCUUGACAAAUGAUCUCCACUGAUUUUGGUCCAAUUGCUUCAAGAACUAAUCAUUCCUUUCAACAACUUUUUUGCAUAGCGGUUACAUGUCCCCAGAGUAUGCCAUCAACGGCUUUUAUUCGGUAAAAUCAGAUGUCUUCAGUUUUGGCGUUUUAGUACUGGAAAUCGUGAGCGGGAAAAGAAAUCGAGGUUUCAAUCAUCCUGACAAGCAUUUAAACCUUCUCGGAUAUGUAAGCGUAAAGAGAUCAGAUCUCUUUGCUUAUUUAUCUUCAGUUAGUUUCUAGUCUUAUUCUAGAUGACUAACACAAUAAUGCAGGCCUGGACACUCUCAAGAGAUCAAAAGUUCAUGGAGCUCGUCGAUCCAUUGAUUGUAUCCACAUUUAACCCUGUGGAAGUUUUACGAUCCAUCCAUGUGGCUUUGUUGUGUGUUCAAAAUAACCCGCACGAUAGACCAGAGAUGUCAUCUGUGGUUAUGAUGUUGAACAGUGAGAGCACAUUGCCUCAGCCUAAACAGCCUGGUUUUUUUUACGAGACAUCUGCAUCCGAAGCAAGUUCUUCAAGCGACAGCAGGCAUAAGAAAUAUUCAGCCAACGAAAUAACUAUUUCACAUUUACUGCCUCGAUGAUAUUUCUGUAAUUUCAAUUAUGUUUAUAUUGAUCCCAUAUGAAUACGAGAGGAUCGUGGCAUUUGUAUGAGAGUCAUCUCUUAAUCUGGAAUUGAAAGACCUUACGGGGACAUGUGAAAGAUUGCGCCUUUUGUUCUUCCAAAAUUUGCUGGAUUCCGGUCAGGAAACAAAGAAUGUGUACACGGACCACAAAGUGAAAAUUUCAGUCUUUUCUUGUUAUGAUAUUCUAGCAAAGAAACCCUUGAAUACCUUAUUAAGAAUACCCGUAACUUAGGGAAGUAAACUCGCAUUUUCGAAAGAAUCCUUAAUGUUUCAAUGUCUGAUUCAGUUUGAAUCGACAAAAUUAUAAAUUAGGGAAAAAGUGGCCAUAACUACAAGCGAGAUCGUAAUCAGUACUAAAACCGUUGCUCUGUCAAGAUCUGCACAGUGAUGUUUCUUCUAUUCUAUCACGCCAAAAUAACCAUGUCCUUCAAAUCACAUCGUGCAUUACAGUGACAUCAACAAGCUCAAAUGCACCUAAAACAGGGGAAAAGGAAAAGGAAUUGACUUCCCAAAAAUAUUGGCUAUAAAUGAAAGAUUCUUGUAUCAUCUUAAGAGCCAUUUUUGGGACUCUAGACGAACAGAAUAAGAACUGAAAUCUUACACAGCAUAGAGGUGUUGGAAAAUGCAUAAAGAAGUAGGAAUUGUGUGGGAAUGAGAUUGACUGACCUCCUUGCUACUGUAGUCAAUGGGCACAAGCCAUUGCAAUCACUAGAUUGGCCCAAACAGUUCACUAUCAUCAAGGCAAUGAGAACGGAGCUAUUCUAGUUGAUAUUGCGAUGAACAUGAAGAUAUUGGACUUUGAUUCACCAAGAUGUUUCUGAUGUAAUGAGAGGGAAGGAACCAAACACAGAGACUAAGGGAGCUGUCCGAACAUGGUGAGUCCUCUACUGAAACAUCUGAAUUAUGCUUAAAUUUGCUUCAAGAACUAAUACUUCUGUGUGAUAAUUGAAUCUUGUGGUUAUAAACCCUCUCAGUAUGCCAUCGAUACUGAAUAGACUCGAAUUUCAUCGGUCCAGUUAUUUAGCCAUCCCAAUCAUAGGCCCGGGAUGCCUCUGUGGUUAUGAUGCUUGGGGUUGAGCGCAUUGCCUCAGCCUAACUAGUUCAAUUAUUCCUUAGAGGAGAUUAUAUUCAAAACAAGUUCUUCAAGUUACGGUGAGUACCCAAGAUUUUCAGCCUAAUUAAAUGACCAUUUCCGGUAAAAUCUAGACAGACAAAUCUGCUAGCUCCUGCUGACCAACCAUCAUGAUUUGGUAUGGCAAAAAAAACUGAUGGUGUUUAAUCUAACAUUAUGAAGUUAUCACUACCAUUUAUUAUAUCAAGAAUUUUACAUUACAUAAAGGAUCAGUUUACAUUCAUGAGUGCUGUUGGCGCUUGUACCUUGCAUCAAAUUAUAUUAAAUGUUCCAUGAGGUUGCACUUCAGAGAGUUUAAACAGUCAAGAAGGAGAACCUAAUCACACGUGCACUUUUUACAUAAUACAGUAUAAUAGUUUAGGCUGCACAAAAUUAUAUCUUUACCCAUUCUAGGCCCGAUUUCCCAUCUGGUGUGUUGCUCUGUUGAAGUUCCAAGUAGUCCUUGUACUUCAUCUAGUUGUCCACGGCUCAGUUGUUCUCGCCAUCCACUAGCUGCUCCACUGGCAUGACAACAGUGUCCAGCGACGGUCCACUAGAUAGAGAGAUUGAUAGCCUUGUUCAUGACAGCUUGAUGCAGAAUGCUCUUGUACUUCCCAUUGCUCAUAACCUUUCGUGAAAAGUGUUAGAAAAAAGUUAGUUGCAAAUAAGCUUUAUGGUAAUGAGAAGAACUAUCUGUACCAUAGUUUACGUGUAAUAACAAUGUCCCUUCCAUAAAGACCUCUGUCGUAUCUGCAUCUAUAAACCAAGGCACACUUUACACUUCACACACCAAAAUUUGAAACAAAUUGGACCUCUCUUGCAAAAUUAAUGGGGGAGAUUUGAAAGAUGAAACAUUAAUUCCUACCUAUGUACCUCGAGGUGACCACCAGUGUUGGCCAAAAAGGCGUUUCGAAUGGGAUCGACUUCGACCCACUUCCAGCUUAGCUGCACUUGAAGGCCACCAAUUCCAUUCUGCAUGAGGAUGGUCAACAGGCCAUCGUCCAGGUGUCCGCCCAUGCCCAUAGCUAGUUCCGGUUGCGGGCACAGCGGAUACAGAUUCGCCGUUAAUAUCUGUAGGCUUGAAUCCAGGUUCACUGCCUCGUUGAUAUAGCCCAAUUGGAGUCGUGAGAAGGAGCGGGCCUAAGAGGAAAGCGAGCUCGAGAGAGUGUGAGCUCGAGGGAGUGAGGGAGGCUCAGUUUUUGCCUUGGUCGAGAGAGAAUCCAGAGAGAGACCGAGGGUCGAGUUCAAGAGAGCCUUAUCUAGCGACUCAACCACACUCCACCACCGUCCGCCGACCUCUCCCAGCCGACGCCCUUGAACCAAACCGGUAAGC